UCUUGAAAAGAAACCCCCCAUCCAAAGUCCAAAGUAUCCAAUCUCAUCCUGGUACUUGUCCUAUAUUCAUUUUAUUUCCUCUUUGAAUAUUUUAUCAUCUUCCUUAAUUAUGUGACGCACGAUUUUCAUUAGGGUAGGGUCUUUUCUUUUCUUUUAUCUUUUUUCCUCAAUUCUCUACUCAAGCUUUAAGCUACAAAAAAAAAGCAGAAAAUUGAGCAAACUCAACAUUUCCAAGCUCUUAAGUUAGCUUAAACUGAGAGUAAUCUACUUCAGCGCUAGGAAAAGUCUACACUUUUGGACCAACAAACAAAUGAAAGGAGCUUGGACACACAUAGGAGCAACAUAUAUAGGGAUGUAGGAGAGAGAGGGAGAGUUCAAUGUACUUUACUGGAUGUCUUGGUAAUGGAGAUUGUUGCUCUUGCUUAGAAGAUCUUCUUUGCCUCUGCAAGAAUCAGAAAGAGAGUGGGGGGUCACUUUUUUAUAUGAUUUAAUAUUAUUCUUGGAGCAUUUUUGAAGAAUGAGCGGUGAAGCUUGUGUAGCAACACAUCAAGGAUUGGUCUCAUGAAAUGGCUGGCCGUGCCUCUCGCACAAUUUAUGUUGGCAAUCUUCCCCUGGAUGUAAAGGAGUUGGAGAUUGAAGAUCUGUUUUACAAGUAUGGUCGUAUUGUUGAUAUUGAAUUGAAGCUUCCUCCACGCCCUCCAGGCUAUUCUUUUGUGGAGUUUGAGGAUCCUAGAGAUGCUCAAGAUGCAAUUAGGGGCCGUGAUGGCUAUAACUUUGAUGGUUGUCUUCUGAGGGUUGAGCUGGCUCAUGGUGGUAGAGAUAGAUCUCCUAUGGGACGACAUGGAGGUGGCAGUGGUGCCGGCGGCGGAGGCAGAGGUGGUGGUGGUCGUGGUGGUGGUGGCAGUGACGGUGGUGGUGGGCAGUAUGGUGUUUCUCGUCGUUCUGAGUAUCGAGUUAUUGUGCGUGGAUUGCCACCUUCAGCUUCAUGGCAAGAUCUAAAGGAUCAUAUGCGCAAGGCUGGGGAUGUCUGCUUUGCCCAAGUUUUCCGUGAUGGUGAAGGUAUGAUAGGAUUUGUUGACUACACUAAUCAUGAAGACAUGCAAUAUGCUAUUCGCAAACUGGAUGACACUGAAUUCCGAAAUCCUUUCUCAAGGUCCUACAUUCGGAUGUCCUUGUGCUUGAGUUUUGGGCUAUGAGUUUCGGUCUUUUGCCAUGUGAAAGCAUCUCGAAAAGCACCAGAUGCUUUCUGGUAACCAUACUUGCUGGCUGCUGCUUUGUUACCCGUGGAGAGAUAAAAGCCUAUGAGGGUAGUUCGCCAAGGAGCAGGAGCAGGAGCAGGAGCAGAAGCAGGACCCCUAUCCGGGAUAGAAGCAUAAGUGUAGAAAAGAACCCAAGAAUGACAUGAUUAUAUAUGUAACCAGACCUGCUCCUAGAUCGACGUCUGCCUCUCCUGCAAAGCCAAUAAGAUCUAGGUCAAGGUCUGCUUCGCCACGCUAGGGCCUGGUUUGCUGAGGAUGAACAGUGGUUACUUUCAUGAGCAGAUGGGAUGGCGAAAAAAUUGAACAAGUUCUAGUUUACCAUCUCAGGAAGUAGCGCGGCCAUAGUAAUGAAUUUUGAAGCAUUGUUGUGGCAGAUGAUAUGGAGCUUUGUUUUGUAAGAGUCACGGCGACUUUGUAGCCAUGUAAGAACUUAGUUUAGAGAUACUUGUUGCAUCCUAGGCAGGUUGUACGUGUUGUUGUCGACUACCGUUGCCUGCAUUAGAUUUUCAGAAUCCUACCAGUUCUUGUACCUUGCCAAUGUACACAUGAGAUCUGCAUUUAUGCCUUUGAUGGAAUUUGGUUACAUUUGCACUUAUUUGGUUAUCUAUGAAUUGGAUUUUGCCUAUA